AGUACUGUGAAGGAACGGUGAAAAGAACCCCGGGAGGGGAGUGAAAUAGAACCUGAAACCCUGUGCUUACAAGCAGUCGUAGGACGUUAAUGUCUGACGGCGUACUUUUUGUAGAACGGUCCGACGAGUUAUGGUAACGGGCGAGGUUAAGUACUGAAGGUACGGAGCCGAAGCGAAAGCGAGUCUGAAUAGGGCAGUUUUUAGUCCGUUGCUGUAGACCCGAAACCGAGUGACCUAUCCAUGGGCAGGCUGAAGUGAAGGUAAAACUUCAUGGAGGGCCGAACCGUUGUCUGUUUAAAAAGGCUCGGAUGACCUGUGGAUAGCGGAGAAAUUCCAAUCGAACUCGGAAAUAGCUGGUUCUCCCCGAAAUAGCUUUAGGGCUAGCCUCGUGUGUGAGUCUGGCGGAGGUAGAGCACUGAAUGGGCUAGGGGCCUUACCGGGUUACCGAACCUUAUCAAACUCCGAAUGCCGUCAAGAUAUCCACGGGAGUCAGACAGCGACAGAUAAGUGCCGUUGUCGAAAGGGAAACAGCCCAGACCAUCAGCUAAGGUCCCUAAAUCGUCGUUAAGUGGCAAAGGAUGUGGACUUGCGAAGACAGCCAGGAUGUUGGCUUAGAAGCAGCCAUUCAUUAAAAGAGUGCGUAACAGCUCACUGGUCAAGUGGGUCUGCGCCGAAGAUGUCCGGGGCUAAACGACGUACCGAAGCUAUGGGGCUACGUUUAAAUGUAGUUGGUAGGGGAGCGUACCGUGCGAGCGGAAGCACGACCGUGAGGACGUGUGGAUUGCACGGUAGUGAGAAUGUCGGAAUGAGUAACGAGAGGAAGGUGAGAAUCCUUCCCGUCGAAAAUCCAAGGUUUCCUGGGGAAGGUUCGUCCCCCCAGGGUCAGUCGGGUCCUAAGGCGAGGCUGGUAAGCGUAGUCGAUGGAUAACAGGUGGAGAUUCCUGUACUACCGACCGGCGCAUGAGAGAGGCAGUGACACAGUAGGAAUGAGCGAGCGUGCGACUGGAAGAGCACGUCCAAGCACAGAGUGUAGUCCCGUAGUGAAGUACGCGGGAUGUUCAUGAUGUGUGAUGGGGAGGGAACACAAGUACCGAAGCGCGGCGUUUCACACUGGCGAGAAAACCUGCUAUCGAGCCGGUAGGUACCCGUACCGCAAACCGACACAGGUGGAUGAGGAGAGAAUCCUAAGACGAGCGGGAGAAGCAUUGUUAAGGAACUCGGCAAAUUAACCCCGUACGUUCGCAAGAAGGGGUGCCCGCCUCGAUCAGGCGGGCCGCAGUGAAUAGGCCCGAGCAACUGUUUAUCAAAAACACAGGUCUCCGCGAAAUCGCAAGAUGAAGUAUGGGGGCUGACGCCUGCCCGGUGCUGGAAGGUUACGGGAAUCUGUUAGCGUAAGCGAAGCAGUGAACUUAAGCCCCAGUAAACGGCGGCCGUAACUAUAACGGUCCUAAGGUAGCGAAAUUCCUUGUCAGGUAAGUUCUGACCCGCACGAAAGGCGUAAUGACUUGGGCACUGUCUCGACAAUGCGCCCGGUGAAAUUGUAGUACUUGUGAAGAUGCAAGUUACCCGCGACAGGACGGAAAGACCCCAUGGAGCUUUACU
rnacentral:rRNA from 1 species